GAUGAACGCUGGCGGCGUGCCUAAUACAUGCAAGUCGAGCGAACGGACGAGAAGCUUGCUUCUCUGAUGUUAGCGGCGGACGGGUGAGUAACACGUGGAUAACCUACCUAUAAGACUGGGAUAACUUCGGGAAACCGGAGCUAAUACCGGAUAAUAUUUUGAACCGCAUGGUUCAAAAGUGAAAGACGGUCUUGCUGUCACUUAUAGAUGGAUCCGCGCUGCAUUAGCUAGUUGGUAAGGUAACGGCUUACCAAGGCAACGAUGCAUAGCCGACCUGAGAGGGUGAUCGGCCACACUGGAACUCAGACACGGUCCAGACUCCUACGGGAGGCAGCAGUAGGGAAUCUUCCGCAAUGGGCGAAAGCCUGACGGAGCAACGCCGCGUGAGUGAUGAAGGUCUUCGGAUCGUAAAACUCUGUUAUUAGGGAAGAACAUAUGUGUAAGUAACUGUGCACAUCUUGACGGUACCUAAUCAGAAAGCCGCGGCUAACUACGUG
rnacentral:rRNA from 1 species